GCGGAAGGAUCAGUAGAGAAUCCUGGGCUUCGGUCCAUUUAUCUACCCAUCUACACCUGUGAACUGUUUAUGUGGUUCGCCAGAAAAAACACAAACUUCUAAAUGUAGUGAAUGUAAUCUUAUUACACCAACAGUAAAACUUUCAACCACGGGUUUCUUGGCUUCCGCA
rnacentral:misc_RNA from 1 species